UGUAGGAGAUGACCAAGCUGAGCCUGAGGGAGAGGUCAAACGCAUCAUCAGUCAUGAAUCCCUUUGUGAUCAAAAGAG